rnacentral:rRNA from 1 species
UGCCAGCAGCCGCGGUAAUACGUAGGGGGCAAGCGUUAUCCGGAAUCACUGGGCGUAAAGGGUGCGUAGGCGGUUUCUCAAGCCAGAAGUGAAAGGCAAUGGCUCAACCAUUGUAAGCUUUUGGAACUGAGAGACUUGAGUGCAGGAGAGGAAAGUGGAAUUCCUAGUGUAGAGGUGAAAUUCGUAGAUAUUAGGAGGAACACCAGUGGCGAAGGCGACUUUCUGGACUGUAACUGACGCUGAGGCACGAAAGUGUGGGGAGCGAACAGGAUUAGAAACCCCCGUAGUCC